rnacentral:lncRNA from 1 species
AUCCCAUCCAUGAGAAUAACCCUAAUUAACCCUCCAGCCAGAUGAUAGCAGGUUUUAAAAACUGCUGUCCUUGCAGAUAUUCUUUAAGUCACAGAAGUAGCAGAGCUCUCUAACGUGUCCUUUCUCAUCCAAAUCUUUACAAAGUCUGUACAAGGAGUUAGCAUGGGCUUUGGUUCCAGGCCAGCCUGAGCUCCUUUCCAGCUCUGCCACUUACUUGCUGUGUGACCUUGGGUAAGUUAUUUCCCUUCUCUGGGCCUCCCUUUGCUUCAUCUGUAAAGUAGGGGGGAUACUCCCAACUUUGAGGGGUCCUGCGAGGAUUACAAGUAUCAGGCAGAGAGGAAGUACAUCAUAAUCCCUAAAGCUCUAUUGCCUCCAUAUUCUAGAUAAAGAAACUGAGGCUCAGAAAGGCUCCCUUGCUUGCUCCUCAGUUAGUAAGAAGCAGGGCUAGCUCUGAGUCCAGGACUACCGCUUCCUCCCAGGAAGGUGUCCCCUUGUGCACAAGUAUUUGAGGCCAUGAGGAAUGGCUCUGCCUGCUCAAGGCCAAGGACCAAUCUCAGGGUCCAGCUUUAUUCACCCUUCUCACAGCUCUCAUGAGUCAUAGCCGGCCAUGUCCAGACCUCAGCACCAGGCCCUCCAGAGUCAGAGGGGACAGGGCCAUUGUUAUGAUGGGCAUGGCAGGCGUGGCAGGUGAGGCCGUGUGCCCUGUGCCCACCGGAAGACUGGCAGACCUAGGACAGGAAAGCAGCAGGCUUGUCCGAAUCAACCGCACAGCGAGGACUCAGUGACCUGAUCCCCGGAGCCAGGAGCUCAGCAGUCAGCACUGGUCUCCUUUUUACAGCCUGAGUCAGCCAGGCAGAUUGACCUGCAUUGCGCUGCCCGCGUCCCUAUUGAUUUAUUAGGGCCGCUUCCGAGUAAAAGACAAGAACUCUUCUUAAGCAUCUCGCUCUGGGCAACUUACUUCUAAUUUUCUCUCUUUUGAAGACAAGGGCGAGAUGCUAUUUUUCACCAAUCCAAUGACAAAGACUGAAAAGACAAACCACACCCAGUAUUGGCCAGAGAACUGUGAAAAUGAUUUUCAGAAUGAAUUUGACCACUGGAGCAGAGGCCCCUGUUUCUGAGUAUCCAGCCUCGUUGUGCGCUCCGGAAAGCAGAGCCUUGGGUGACCCCAGGUACUAAGGCUCCAACACUGGCCAGUCAUCAUGCAGCUGUCACAAACACCAUCACAUACUAGGCACUUAAUAAAUAUUUAUUGGAUAAGUGAAUAAAUGUCUUAGUUAACACAUACUGCAGCCCUGUGAGAUAAGAGUUAUUGCUUUAUUAUUCCUCAACUGAUGCUCAUUCAUUAGAGAGAAAUGCAGAUAUUAUAAAAGAAGAAAAUAAAA